GGGGGCGACCUGGCUUCGACGUGGGUUGCAAAGCAGCGCAGGGCAUACCGAGGACCAGUGACCUCGUAAAUCCAUCUGGAAAACCAUAGUCGCAAACGACGAAAGCUACGCUCUAGCCGCUUAAAUCCGGCUGGACUCCGCACCGGUGGGCCUCAACGCCGGGCCUGGCGACAGGCGGCGGAGCCAUUAACGAGGAUCGCGCCCGGCAGGGCUACUUUGCCGGACGUUAAACGAUAGGUGGCUCGCUCGUCAUCAGCCUGCCGGUUGGCGGAUGCCGGGUCAAAUCAAACAACCUGGCUAAGUAUGUAGAACUGCCUGUAGAGGACUUGCGGACGCGGGUUCAAUUCCCGCCGCCUCCACCA
rnacentral:tmRNA from 1 species